rnacentral:lncRNA from 1 species
CAGCCCGCUUCAUUUUGCCGUCUUAACCUAAUUACUCUACAACAAAAAUGUUGUAUAACGACACUUUUAAAUAUCGAUACAGGUAAAAAAAAAUGCUGUUGGUUAAAUUAUCGACAUUUUAACAGUGUUGCUAUAUGUGGGGUCGCUAUAUGUAGGGCCGUUUUGAUGUUUGACACCCACUCCUCCUGGGACCUGUGGCGGAGGGACACGUGGCGAUCGUAACUCUCUACGGUCCCUACGAGAUUCUCGCGGCCGAACUUUGGCCGCCGGAACCCUAUCUCGUCGGCUGCGACGGCGACGGAGGAGAAGAAGGGAAGAUGGUGAUCAAUUUUAUUUUAUUUUUCUUUUCUAUUUAUAAUCAGGCCAAGUGGGCUGGAUGGAGUUGGUUGAGUAGAGAAACUUUUUUAUUUUUUGAUUGGAUUGGGCUUUAUAUUUAAGCUUUAAUAGAUUUUUUUAAAAAAAUUUAGACAUAAAUGAAACAUUUAUAUAAAAGUGUCUCAAAAAUAUGUCGCUAUAAUCUAAUUCUGUUGUAGUU